rnacentral:rRNA from 1 species
AGUGAACGCUGGCGGUAGGCCUAACACAUGCAAGUCGAACGGCAGCACAGAGGAGCUUGCUCCUUGGGUGGCGAGUGGCGGACGGGUGAGGAAUACAUCGGAAUCUACUCUGUCGUGGGGGAUAACGUAGGGAAACUUACGCUAAUACCGCAUACGACCUACGGGUGAAAGCAGGGGACCUUCGGGCCUUGCGCGAUUGAAUGAGCCGAUGUCGGAUUAGCUAGUUGGCGGGGUAAAGGCCCACCAAGGCGACGAUCCGGAGCUGGUCUGAGAGGAUGAUCAGCCACACUGGAACUGAGACACGGUCCAGACUCCUACGGGAGGCAGCAGUGGGGAAUAUUGGACAAUGGGCGCAAGCCUGAUCCAGCCAUACCGCGUGGGUGAAGAAGGCCUUCGGGUUGUAAAGCCCUUUUGUUGGGAAAGAAAUCCAGCUGGCUAAUACCCGGUUGGGAUGACGGUACCCAAAGAAUAAGCACCGGCUAACUUCGUGUCAGCAGCCGCGGUAA